rnacentral:rRNA from 1 species
UACAUAGGGUGCAAGCGUUAAUCGGAAUUACUGGGCGUAAAGCGUGCGCAGGCGGUGAUGUAAGACAGGUGUGGAAUCCCCGGGCUUAACCUGGGAACUGCAUUUGUGACUGCAUCGCUGGAGUGCGGCAGAGGGGGAUGGAAUUCCGCGUGUAGCAGUGAAAUGCGUAGAUAUGCGGAGGAACACCGAUGGCGAAGGCAAUCCCCUGGGCCUGCACUGACGCUCAUGCACGAAAGCGUGGGGAGCAAACAGG